UAUAUAUAUCUAUUUUUAUUUUUUUUUUUUUUUUUAUUUGUCAAUUUAAAAGUAUAGUUUGUAAUUGUCAAUCAGGUGGUGGUUUAAUUGAUAUUCUCGCUUAUGUGAGUGAGGAGUGAGUGGAAUCCUUUCGACCACAAUUGUUUUCACCAAUUUGACUAUACAUCCAGGAGGAAGAACAAUAUCCCUUAAAAGACUGAUUAGUGCUAAGUAUUUUUUCUGUGGAACGAGGAUGUGCAAUACCUUUCAGGCUGUGGCUGGCCGUAGAGGUUUGUUUGAUCUUAUUUUCAAUGAAUCUGGUUGGCAUUUUGAAAUAAUAUACUAUGUUAUCAUUCCUAUUUCCUAUGCUUUCCUUUU